rnacentral:snRNA from 1 species
GCGCUCACUUCGGCAGCACAUACACUAAAAUUGGAACGAUGCAGAGAAGAUUAGCAUGGC